CCUGGAGCCUGGUAACCUUUGCCAAAGAUGACUCAGGUAAACGUGUUAUCAAGCCGAGCCGCCAGUCACCCUGCAGUGACCCGGCCAGUACAGCCAUGCCGGGUCUCAGCUCUGCUCACCCGCGCAGCUCCCAGAAACUUCCCCGGCUUGUCUCCACUGGAAUCGGGAUGGAAGGGAGCCACGGCUGGCUCAGCCCCUCUCGGAGCAGAAAGAGGAAACUUCUGAAAAGAAGAUGGGGGCUGGGGGAGGACAUCAAUCAGCACGGACAACACCAAAAACCACCCAGAAGACAGCUCAGUGGACCCUAGCAGUGGAUUCUACAUGUCUGCAGAAAAUGAGCAGAAAACAAGCCAGAGUUACAGCUAUCUGCAGAGAGACUACAUCCAGGAGGUCUGAAGACUGAAAGUAAUCACUGCAGUCUGACUUCUACCACUGACACCCUUCCCAUACAUAAUUUAAAUGUGUAAUUAUAAUACCAUUGCUUAGUUAACGGACACCAAUUCGUGCAGGAGCUGCCACAAACAGUAAUAAACCAGCUGUGUUAGAAAUGGAUCACUUAUCAGUGCGUGCCCAAGCCUCCUAAUGCCUCAUGAUGUUUAAUAAUUAAAUUGUGACACCUUGAACCCGCAGCUGACACCAUGAAUCACAGUGGAAUUCUCCAAAUGGAAUGCAGCCACACCUCAGCUUCUGUGCUGCGUGCUGCCACUGAGGACAUUCGAUACCAUUGAAGCCGUCAGAUAGAGGCCGUAUUUCAAAAGGUCUACGGUGGCUCCGUUUCUUCUCUGAGACUUCAAAAGUCCUUCAAGAGUGAGUUCCCGUCUCAUUCUAUGUCCAGGAUGAAGACGGAUGGCCUCUUGGCACCCAUCUCUUUGGCAUGAACGAUGUGGGGAAACGUGAAUGGAAAUGGGGAACUGUUGCUGGCACCCAGAAGUCAUCCGGUCCGGAUGAAGCCAAGUCACAAGGAAGUGCCUCCAAUUAUUCUUCAUAAAUUCCUCUGAGGUUUCACUUCUUGUCCACACAAGACUUUAAUAAAAUGUGGCAUCUAACUGAAUAAAGACUAUCCUUUCGGGUGUGUGUGUCAUGACAGUACUAUUUAUGGAGGACCUCCUGUGUAGCAGUUCUUGCACUGUUUUACGUAAUCAUCCCCUUUCAUCCUAACAAUCACUCCUGUGAAGUAUGUGUCCUUAUUUUCAUUUCGUUGUAGAGAAAACCAAGGCUCUGAGACAUUAAGCAAUGUGCCCAAGGACACACAGCUAGUAAGUGGCUGGAUUUGAGCGCAAGCCUACAAGAAACUUCUCUCCAGGAUGAUUAAGAAAAGGAAAUGCCGGAUUGAAAAGAUGCCAAGCUUCCAGAGCGCGUUCAUGUGGCUCGAUUGACAGUGGCAACCAUUAUCGUCAUCACCGUCAUCGCUGCUUUUAACGGUUAAUGAUAAUAAGCCGUCACACACGGAUGCAGCACUUUGCAAUGCACAAAGCCCUCUUGCACUCAUGCUCUCCAGCGCUCCUCACUGCCAUCUGGGAAUCUCCACUUUGCAGAUGUGGAAACUGAAGCUCGGACGAUGGCAGUGACUCGCCCUGCUAGCCCUGCCGAGAGAGGUCUGCCUUUGCCUCCCUGAUUCUGAAUCAGAUAGGGUCAGGACUCCCUCUAUUCCCCUGGGCUCCUCAACCUGGCGCCCUCACCGCUUACUUGCGGGCCCCUCCUGCCCUCUUCUGCUCCAGACGGCAGGCUCUCUGAGGCAGGACUCUGAUUGGACAGCUUGGAUCAUGUGCUCAUUCAAAAGCCAAUCAGCAGCAGGGGGCUUGGCUCUGUAUUCACUCUUCCCAUGUUAGCUGCCCUUUUUUUUUUUUUUUUUUUUUUUUUUUUUGAGACACAGUCUCAUUCCUCUGCCCCGGCUGGAGUGGAUCUCAGCUCAAUGCAACCUCCACCUCCUGGGUUCAUGUGAUUCUCCUGCCUCAGCAUCUCGAAUAGCUGGGAAUACAGGCACCCGCUACCAUGCCCAGCUAAUUUUUGUAUUUUUAAUAGAGACGAGGUUUCACCAUGUUGGCCAGGCUGGUCUGGAACGCCUGACCUCAAGUGAUCUACCUGCCUUGGCCUGCCAAAGUUCUGGGAUUACAGGUGUGAGGCACUGCACCUGGCCUGCCCUAACUCCCGUUAGGAAUAUGGGAAACUCUUUUCCCAAAGCAGCCUGCACCUCGGUCUUCCCACCCCACCCUACUGAAGAAGGCUCCCAGAAACCAGCUUUGCUGAGCCCAGAACGGCCUGGCUCUGGCAGAUUUGCCCCCAGGCUGCAAGUGGGCGGCAGCACUCCCCCUACAUGUCCCUUUCUAUUUCCUGCCCCUCCCCCUGAGUCUUCCUUUCAUUCUUGCAGCCAGCUCCCAGCCCUGCUUCCCUGCCAGGACCCCAAUUCCCUAACUCCCUGGCAUCAAGACCUGCAUGGAUGUCCCCUGCACUUGUUUUGUCCCCGGAUGUGGCUCCUUGGACUGUCCAGCCCCACACCUGGCCUCUUGUUUCCCACCAGCUACAGCGGCCAAGGCUCCAGCAGGCCUUGUACUUGGCUGGCCCAGGCUUGGCUUUGAUGGACCAGUGACCCAAAUAAGUGACCUUGGAAAGGUCUUCCUAAAGGUGGUGGAGACCAUGUUCUUGAGAGUUGGAGUGGUGUUGGCUUGAGUGUGGGGCUGAGAUCUCACCCAGUGCUAGGGUCCAGGCUGCGAAAUGAGGCAUAGGAUGAGAGAGGUUCUGAGCCACAAAUGGGGUCCAUACCUAAGAGGAUGGGAUCAACCUAGGGAAGGAUUUGGAGGAGAGGCGUGUGUGGAAACAGAGCCUGGAUGCUGAGUCCCUGGAGGCCGGAGUGGGCCCUGGGGCACAGGGAGCCCCUGGCCCCGCCACUGAUGCCAAUUGGGGUGUCAGUCCCCCAACAAAUUCAGUCUGUCCAUAUCUAUUGCUGACACAGGGUUUAGAGAGGGCUUAAAUUCAGAUAAAUGGAAUUUGAAUUCCCUCUUUGUCUCUCAAAUGUGUGAAUUUUGGCAGCCAAGUUCCUCUCUCUGAGCCCAGUUUGUCCAUCUCAAGAUUGUGUGUGAUCAUACCCACCACACUGGGCCACCAGGAGGAAUGAGCGAAGCACCUCAUGUCAAAUGCCUGGCCCAGGCCUGUGUCUGGCAGGGACUCAUGGCUGCGGAAGGGUCAUUAUUUGCCCCCAGGGAUUUCUAGAGAGGAUCAGGAUGCCACGAGGGAUGCUAUUGGAAGCAAGUCACACAGAAGCCAGAGCCCUGGGCUUUCCUAGCAGCACUGGACAUGGGGCAGGGAACAAACCCGAGCCACACUUCUCAGAGGGUGGGCAUGGCAUUGAAAACGACGUGUGUAGGAAGCUUUUCCAAUACACAAGCUGGGCCCCGCCCCAGAACCUUGAGGGGCAGGAGGAGCACUGAGACAACCUUGGGUGGGGUGAGGCAGGGGGACGGCGGGGGGAGAUUUCCAGUCCCUUAGCUGGCGGAAGACUCCUGAGCUGGCAGAGAGCCCUCUUCUUGAAAGACUCUCAUGCACAGGCCAUCAGGAGGAUCACAAAGUUGUUUAUUUUCCCACCUAUAAGAAAAGAUGGAUGAUGCAGAGUGCCGAGAAAUCCC
rnacentral:lncRNA from 10 species